GGGAAUGUGGCUUAGUGGUAGAGUGCUUGCCUAGCAUGCAUGAAGUCCUGGGUUCAAUUCCUCAGCAUCA
rnacentral:tRNA from 1 species